GGGUCAGUAGGUUGGUCGUGCCACCGGUACGUACUGGUCUCACUGAUUCCUCCUUCCUGAAGAACCGUAAUGCCAUUAAUUUGGUGUUGCGGGGAAACAGGACUGUUACUUUGAAAAAUUAGAGCGUUUAAAGCAAGCUAACGCUUGAAUACAUUAGCAUGGAAUAAUGAAAUAGGACGAUCGAUCCUAUUUUGUUGGUUUCUAGGAUUGACGUA
rnacentral:rRNA from 1 species